rnacentral:ncRNA from 1 species
AUAAAUUUUAUUUUAGUUUAAUAAAAUUAAUAUAAUUUUUAUAUAUAUAUAUAAAUUAAUAAAAUUAAAUAUUUAAAUAAUUUAAAUUUUAAUAUAUAUAAUUAAUUUUUUUUAAUAAAUUAAAUUUUAGAAAUUAUUAUAAAAUAGAAUAUAUUUGUGCCAGCAUUAGCGGUUAUACAAAUUAAUUUAAUUAAUUUAUUAUUAAUUAAUAUAAUAAUAUUUAUUUUAGAAAAAUUAUAAUAAUUAAAAUUAAAAGAUAAAAUUUUAUUUUUAAAUUUUAUAAUUAAUAUAAUAAAUUAAAUUAUAUAAUUAUUACUUAAAACUAGAAUUAGAUACUCUAUUAUAUUUAAUAAAUAAAAUAUAUUAAAUUAGUAAUUUUAUGAAAUUUAAAAAAUAUGGCGGUAUUUUAAUCUAAUUAGAGGAAUUUAUUUUUUAAUUGAUAAUCCACGAAAAGAAUUACUUAAUUUUAUAUAUUUAUGUAUGUUCGUUAUAAAAAAAUUUUAUAAAAAUAUUUUUUAAAAAUUUAAUAAAUUUAAUUUCAGAUCAAUAUAUAAUUUAUAAUUAAGAUAAAAUGAAUUACAUUAAAUUAAAUUUAUUUAAUAAUUAUUUAAUUAAUUAAUAAAAUUGGAUUUAAUAGUAAAAUUUAUUAAUUAAUAAAUUUGAAUGAAGUUUGAAAUAUGUACAAAUUGCCCGUCAAUUUUUAAUAAAUAAAAAUAAGUCGUAACAAAGUAAAUAUACUGGAAAGUGUAUUUAG